rnacentral:lncRNA from 1 species
UACCAGAUUUUGGUAUAAAAAUAAAAAUAAAUAAAAAUAGUAUGAGAUACUAUUUUUAUUAGAAUUAGAGAAGUAAAACAUAAGUCAGAAAUAACUUGUGCUAAAAUCGGAUUGGAUACAGAAGAUUUAAAAUUUUCUAUUGGAAACGGGACAAAUAAGUUAGUGGAAAAUGUACAGUCUCAGAAAAUUAUGAAAAUUGGAGAAUAAGUCAGAAAUAUUUUUAUGAGGCUAGAUUUAAAGUUUCAUAUUUUUCUGACACCCGGAAGGUGGAAAAUAAAAUCCGACAAUUUAUCUGCUAAAGAUUACAGUUCGGCACAGUUUUCGGUGACUAAACGGGGUCGAAACUGAAAACUUAAGAUAUAUUCUUAC